rnacentral:rRNA from 1 species
UACGGAGGGUGCAAGCGUUAUCCGGAUUCACUGGGUUUAAAGGGUGCGUAGGAGGGCAGGUAAGUCAGUGGUGAAAUCUCCGAGCUUAACUUGGAACUGCCGUUGAUACUAUCUGUCUUGAAUACCGUGGAGAUGAGCGGAAUAUGUCAUGUAGCGGUGAAAUGCUUAGAUAUGACAUAGAACACCAAUUGCGAAGGCAGCUCGUUACACGAAUAUUGACUCUGAGGCACGAAAGCGUGGGGAGCAAACAGG